GUAGCCGACUGUCAAGUACCAGCUGUUGCGCCGUACUGAUUUUCCGUGGCUUCACGCCGACUCGGCUUUGCGGCAAUUUAAUCGAAUAAGUGUGUCACGCGGUUCAUAACUCCGAUCGACAUGAGCCGCAAUUUUAUCGGAGAGUUGCUGAUCUUUCUGUUAUUCUUCAUUGGCAGUUUAAAUACGAAAGUAUUAUCAAAUAUACUGUCUCUCGGUGAUGGAAGUGUAUUUGAAAUGAAAUUAACUAAUCUUCAUGACACUACACCAUAUAUGAAACAAAUAUCUAUUGCAGCAAGUAGCAAAGCAAUCUUUAAUGUAACAAACGUUUCCUCCAGCGGUUCAUUUAUUAUUUUUCAAAUUCAUAUUUAUCAACAUAAUGUUACAUUAUCUUUUGACAAAGAUUGUCUUAAUAAAGUUUCAAAUAGAAGCAUAUUUGGAUCAAACAUUGGUCUUUUCUCUAAGCUAGAUACUAAUAUAAUGACACAAUUUUUCGUGAAAAAUGAUAAUGUUCACGAUGUUAAGGCUCUGCUCGUUGUUAUUACUUACAAUAAUAAAGCACCCGUACCGGGUGGAUGCAACAUGGAGUUCAAUACCGAGAUCGCGCCGUACGCGAGAAUGCAGACACGCGACGCGAUGGUGAUCGUCGACGUGCAACCAGCCUCGUUACCGUUCAACUCAAUGCGCCGCACUUGCGAAAAGGAGCCGGUGGAGGUCAAGAUGUAUCAGAUGUUCCUGCCCGAGCAGGACCUCAGUGCCGAAACUUAUUUCACGGGUAUCGUAAAAAUGCUGACUGCGGAAGAUAUCAAGAAGAACGGAGUGAAGGCAAUGGCUUCCAUUGUUUCCUCUCCGAUGAGACGAAUAUUUAGCGCGUAUAUCGGAGUUGGCUCGGUUUACGUCGCAGUGGCUAGUUAUGGGGAUUAUUCUGCGGCCUAUAUCCCGAUAUUUUCAUACGGCUGUAAUCCCACAAUCGAUCCUGUAUCAUGUGACAUUUUAUCCGGGGGUGUUUUGAAGUUUAUUUCUGCCAUUUGUUUCUUCGUGGGAUUAUUUUUUACAUUCCUGGGUCAUCAUGUCUCUAGAGUUGAAAAAAUGUUUCCUAUAUUUUUCAUUGGAUGCGUAAUUGGAUAUGCUAUAGAAGGAAACGUUAUAACUGGCCUGGCGAUAGGUUUGCUCUUCAACCUGUUGUCGUUAGUAUGUCCGUACUCCACAGAGAAUCGUAGCGGUGCAUUGCUGGUCAAUAUGACUCUGGGCUUGUUCUUUGCGUGCGUUGCUUACUUACACUCCCCAGGUUCAUUUAUAAUUCUGCAGAACAAUAUGGUGUUUUGGUUACUAUUUUUGACAUUGACUCUCAGUAUAGCUCUUGUCACGACAUUUAACUUUUAUUCUCACAUUACGUGUUCCAUAUUUUCAUCCUUCAUGAUAAUCCUGCCGAUUGAUUAUUGGGUUGGUUCUUCUCUGAAAUAUAUUAUGAUAAAUAUUGUAAGACGAGCAACUGUGGAGGAUUUUAAUCUAGCUAUUGUUCGACCUCCAAUUCAGACUAAGGAUAUAUGGUUGAUUGUAUUCUGGACCUGUUUGGCGUUCUAUCACUUUUAUAAACAUCGCCAAAAUCGAUUAUUAUUAAACCAGACAGAAACAAUUACAGAAACAACACCAUUGUGGAAUCAAUAUUAACGAAUCAUGUUCCAAAUGUAAUUACUACAAUUACGAAUGAUACAGUUCACAAUUUUUCAUAUACAAGGAUUGAAUUUUAGCAUAUACGUAUAAAUACGUACUCGGAAUAUAAAGGAUCCAAAGGAUAACGACGAAAGGUUUGAAGUGUUUAUUGAACAAAAAAAAAAAAAUGACGCCAGACGACUUGCGUUGUCAUUAAAAUGAAAUAACAUUUAUUGAAUCGAGACAGUGACACCUAACAGUGGUUUUCUAUAUCCUACUACUUACAAUCUUAAAGAUAAUAAGAAAACUGCGUGACCACUUCCGCGUCACCGCCCUCGGAUCUGUCGAAGAUUCACAGGAUCGUUCGCAAUGUGAAUCAAAGACAUUCAUCUUCAUCUUCCAAUAACAUCACUGAAAUGGAACUUGCCCCUAUCUUUAAACAUGCAAUUUAUCAAAACAACAAACAAAAUAGAGAUAAAAUUUACGCGGCAACGAAUCCAACGAAUCAAAUUCCAUUUCGGUGUAUUAUAAAUUGUUUCAACGAUUUUCCAUACAAAUUCCAUAGAAAUCGUCGAUUGUAUUUUUGUUCUUGUAUACAACGUAUACAUUUUUCACCAAGCAUAUUUUUUAUCUUCGCGAGGAAGGAUAAAGUCGGCCAAAAAAAUAAAGUAGCUCGACGAAGCCAUUUUUAUAAUACCCUUUUGGCGCCCUCUGUAAUCUUACAGAAAUUCCUUUUUCAUUUCUAUAUUCAUAUCAAGGUACACGAUAUUCAUUCAAUUCUUUCAAUGAAAUAAAAAAAAAAAAAAAAAAAUCGACCGAUAAAAAAUUCUUCACCAGACACGAUUCAAAUUCAAAAUCGCGAAUAAAAUAAAUUCAAAGAGAGAAAUACAUUUCGAAACAUUCUGUUCGAAAAUUCGAGAGGAUUAAAAAGUGAAAAAAAAAUCGAAGGUAACGAUUCACGAACACCUUUGGUUCCCUUAUACGUAUAUAUAUAUAUAUAUUUAUAUAUAUGAAAUAUUACAUCGCGAACGCAGAAGUGGUCCGUGCGGAUCCGAAAACGAAGUGUACGACGUCGAGAAAAUCAAGGUCCUCGACCAUGGGAGAAUCGACAGAAAUGGCGGCGCGCGCGCGUGCGAUCUUUUUUGCCCCUAAAUUCGGCCAAUUAUUCGGCCUGCGUUGCGUCCUCUUUGUUUUGCUCCAUUUUUUAGUUUUAUUUUUUCUUUUUCUUUUUUUUUUUUCUUCAUCCAAAAAUAUAAAUUUACUAAUGUACAUUACAAUCCCCGUUCGCCGUGGAAAACGUUCAAACGAAUUGCGGUACACCAGCAGCUUGCGCCGCGUGUCGACAUCGUAGGAAACGUUGCGCGUCUUUCCUAACAGACGGAACACGAUUUAUUCUUACAUUAUUUAUUUAUUUAUUUAUUUAUUUAUUUAUUUAUUUUUUAUUCUUCUCGUUCGUGCCUCGUCUACGCGACUCGACGCACAAUAUAUCGUUAAAUUACCCUAUUGACUGUUAACAAAUCGUUAUUAGCUCGUCACCUACUGACAAGAGAGAGAGAGAGAGAUAGAGAGAGAGAAAGAGAGAGACUUGACGCGUCUGACUGUUAUUCGGCACAAAAGUUUUUUCUCGAGGGAGGAGAAGCUGUUUUGUUUUUUUUUUUUUUUUUAUCAGAGAUUCUAAUUAAACGGAUGCUUGUUGCGUAACACUCAUAUACACAUGCUCGAGGAGUAUAUGCUUGGGCGAAGGGAACAAAAUGUGGACCGGGGGAGUCUUGGAACGGCGAUUCUUGCGUCCGAUCAUCGGUUUUAAUAUCACAAGGUCCUCGUAAAAUGUCGUACGACACGAUCGUAUUUUACAAUGUUGUAAACACACGUCGAUUUAUAAAUAUGCAAUAUGUUUAUACAAGUGAAUCUCUUGCACUUAUCUUAAUUUGUUUGAAAUAAACGAAAGUUGAAAACUCGUUAAAACUUUCCGUUUUAAUAAUAAUAAUAAUUAUUAUAACAUGGAUUGUAAUAAUGUAUUUGAUGAAAAUUGUAGAUAGGUCAUAUUUAUAAAACGCAUUUUGGCUUGAAAUGUAACUUAAUUU